UCCAUCAUGGUGUAGUGGCUAACAUUAUCGCCUCUCAGAAUAUGAUGCGCGAUAGCCCAGGGUUCGAUUCCCUGUGAUGGAA